AACGAACGCUGGCGGCAGGCUUAACACAUGCAAGUCGAGCGGUAGAGGGGCAACCCUUGAGAGUGGCGAACGGGUGAGUAAUACAUCGGAACGUGCCCAGUCGUGGGGGAUAACGUAGCGAAAGCUACGCUAAUACCGCAUACGACCUGAGGGUGAAAGCGGGGGAUCGCAAGACCUCGCGCGAUUGGAGCGGCCGAUGGCAGAUUAGGUAGUUGGUGGGGUAAAGGCCUACCAAGCCUGCGAUCUGUAGCUGGUCUGAGAGGACGACCAGCCACACUGGGACUGAGACACGGCCCAGACUCCUACGGGAGGCAGCAGUGGGGAAUUUUGGACAAUGGGCGAAAGCCUGAUCCAGCCAUACCGCGUGCGGGAAGAAGGCCUUCGGGUUGUAAACCGCUUUUGUCAGGGAAGAAAUCUUCUGGGUUAAUACCUCGGGAGGAUGACGGUACCUGAAGAAUAAGCACCGGCUAACUACGUGCCAGCCGCCGCCGUAAUAC
rnacentral:rRNA from 1 species